UCCUUCUUAGGGUCGCACCUGGAGAGGUUCUAGUCCUCUACCAGUCUCGACGACGGGAGGGAGAGUCAAGCAGAAGCAUAUCCACUCCAUUCCUUGCUUGGACAGUGGCUAGCAAGUGGAAGGCAAUCUUCUACAAGU